AACAAAGUGUAUUCGGUGUCCCGCCUUUGCACUCUGAAAAUUUAUCUUUUCAUUUAAUACGUUAUCUCAAGUUUUGCAUUACAACUUCUGUAGUUACUGUAACUUGGAACAUUUUCAUGGCAUUUUAUUUGGCAUAUUUGUUGGUCUUCAUGAGAAUUCCAGGUUGACAUCAUUUUCUCAUUCUUCUGUAAAGUUAUUUGUGUAUCAAGGAUGUCAAUCUCUCAUCUGAGAUACAUUUGCCAAGCUAUCUUCCCAAUUUUUUUCAUAUGUCUUUUAUUUUUUUGCAAGUCACUUAUUUUUGAAUUAUAAUAGAUUUUUAUGAUUAAAGAAGUAAUAUGGUUUUAUGUCUUAAGAGUUAAUAAAGAAUGUAUGGAGGUCUUAGAACUCCAGCCUCUGGAUUGAUCAGUGUUAAACGGCAGCCCCGGCAGUGGUGGCUCCAGGAGCCAGUACAAAACAGCUUGGACUUUAGGGUAGGACAGUGGUAAUACCGAUUGUGAAAGGUUUCACAAAGAUGGAAGGAGAUCACAUAACAAGUUUUAUUCACACAGAAGCAGGUCCUUGAGGAAUCGCCACACUGUCUCCCACAAUGGUUGAA